rnacentral:rRNA from 1 species
CUUGCUGGGUGGAUUAGUGGCGAACGGGUGAGUAACACGUGAGUAACCUGCCCCUGACUCUGGGAUAAGCGUUGGAAACGACGUCUAAUACUGGAUAUGACUGCCGGCCGCAUGGUCUGGUGGUGGAAAGAUUUUUUGGUUGGGGAUGGACUCGCGGCCUAUCAGCUUGUUGGUGAGGUAAUGGCUCACCAAGGCGACGACGGGUAGCCGGCCUGAGAGGGUGACCGGCCACACUGGGACUGAGACACGGCCCAGACUCCUACGGGAGGCAGCAGUGGGGAAUAUUGCACAAUGGGCGAAAGCCUGAUGCAGCAACGCCGCGUGAGGGAUGACGGCCUUCGGGUUGUAAACCUCUUUUAGUAGGGAAGAAGCGUAAGUGACGGUACCUGCAGAAAAAGCACCGGCUAACUACGUGCCAGCAGCCGCGGUAAUACGUAGGGUGCAAGCGUUGUCCGGAAUUAUUGGGCGUAAAGAGCUCGUAGGCGGUUUGUCGCGUCUGCUGUGAAAUCCCGAGGCUCAACCUCGGGCUUGCAGUGGGUACGGGCAGACUAGAGUGCGGUAGGGGAGAUUGGAAUUCCUGGUGUAGCGGUGGAAUGCGCAGAUAUCAGGAGGAACACCGAUGGCGAAGGCAGAUCUCUGGGCCGUAACUGACGCUGAGGAGCGAAAGCGUGGGGAGCGAACAGGAUUAGAUACCCUGGUAGUCCACGCCGUAAACGUUGGGCGCUAGAUGUAGGGACCUUUCCACGGUUUCUGUGUCGUAGCUAACGCAUUAAGCGCCCCGCCUGGGGAGUACGGCCGCAAGGCUAAAACUCAAAGGAAUUGACGGGGGCCCGCACAAGCGGCGGAGCAUGCGGAUUAAUUCGAUGCAACGCGAAGAACCUUACCAAGGCUUGACAUACACCGGAAACGGCCAGAGAUGGUUGCCCCCUUGUGGUCGGUGUACAGGUGGUGCAUGGUUGUCGUCAGCUCGUGUCGUGAGAUGUUGGGUUAAGUCCCGCAACGAGCGCAACCCUCGUUCUAUGUUGCCAGCGCGUUAUGGCGGGGACUCAUAGGAGACUGCCGGGGUCAACUCGGAGGAAGGUGGGGAUGACGUCAAAUCAUCAUGCCCCUUAUGUCUUGGGCUUCACGCAUGCUACAAUGGCCGGUACAAAGGGCUGCGAUACCGUAAGGUGGAGCGAAUCCCAAAAAGCCGGUCUCAGUUCGGAUUGAGGUCUGCAACUCGACCUCAUGAAGUCGGAGUCGCUAGUAAUCGCAGAUCAGCAACGCUGCGGUGAAUACGUUCCCGGGCCUUGUACACACC